UACAGAGGGGGCAAGCGUUGUUCGGAAUUGCUGGGCGUAAAGGGCGCGUAGGCGGCCUUCUAAGUCGAACGUGAAAUCCCCGGGCUCAACCCGGGAACUGCGUCCGAUACUGGAAGGCUUGAAUCCGGGAGAGGGAUGCGGAAUUCCAGGUGUAGCGGUGAAAUGCGUAGAUAUCUGGAGGAACACCGGUGGCGAAGGCGGCAUCCUGGACCGGCAUUGACGCUGAGGCGCGAAAGCCAGGGGAGCAAACGGG
rnacentral:rRNA from 1 species